ensembl:lncRNA
AGAUCCCUCCAUACUGGAGGCCUUCUAAGGUUGUAAUACUUGUCCUUUCAAGUAACUGUUACACGUGCUGAGGCUCUGCAUUCCAGGAUAUCUGCCUACUUUAGGUUGAUUACUUUAAUACCACACAUUUCCACUUCUCCCUGGUGACCUCUAUAUGUGUGGUUUGCUGCAACUCAAAGCCCACCAUGGAAGAUACAUUUCUCAAUUUGUGCAGUAUAUCCUACUAAGCAUUGACGACUUGCUGCUGUUAUAAAAGAAACAAGUUUCUCCUAUGUUACAAAGCUUACUUCAAAGAAGUCUAAGACUGGAGAAAUGAAAAAGAAUGGUUGUUUCACUAUAUUUGACUUCAUUUCUCUUAUCUACUGAUUAAUGUUCUUCACUCAAUUGAGUAGAUGCCAGAAUUUAAGAACCUGACUGCUGAAUACUACAAGAGCACAGGUUUAUAUAUUGUUAAGACCACUGAACUAAAUCAUUUUUGUCUGAGAUGAAUCUUCCUGAACUACAUUUCUUGGAUAAUAAUGAAUACCUCAAGUCACCAGGGAAAAAAAGAAAUGGAGGAGAAUUGGCUGGAAGUUUUUGAGGACACAGUAAACCUCAAUCUUCUAGAUAAAUCUGUGCUUCUGAUUCUAGCAUUUUGUUAGCUGGUGCUACUACAUAUUCCAACAGGGGAAUGCUGUUGGAAUAUGUAGUUCAUGAACAGAAUUCACCAUGCUCCAAAAAUGACAAAGUAACAUAACUUUUGUUUCUGUCUAUAAGAAGUCACUAAUCAUACAAGAGGCUGAAUACAGAUAAUUAUUUCAGAAUAGUAAAAAGUGAACAGUGAAACAGACUCCUCAGAUGUGAUCUUCAGUAAAGAAAGGCAUUUUGUGAGGUAAAAUGGCCUUCAGGAAUAUUAGCUGCCUGCUCAUGAAUCAAAAUAAAGCUUUUUACUGGUCCCUAACUGCAUAGUGAGCUCUAGAAUGUACAAAAAGUAAAUACAGAAUACUACUUAUGUGUUUUAUCUUUGUUGCUAUCAAAAUAUUCUGUCAUUUAAACAUUCAUAUUUUAGGAAUGUUGCAGGAAGGUUUUUGGGAGCUGUUACUGAUCCAACUGUUCAAGUUUGAAUCCUUUGGGAAUUAACAGCUCUCUGUUGUCAGUUGUAUAUUCUUUUAAACAACUUCUUAAACUAUGUGUUAUUUACAUCUAUGUUGCUAAAGUAUCCUGUGCUGUUUUACAUGCUCCUAUAGCCAAAUGUUUAUAUAUUCCUUAAAUUCAUACUGUGUGCAGAGUGAGAAAAGGGAUGAUCAUCACUUUCUGUAGUUGUAAAAAGGAGGCACUGCGGUGCAUAUUCUUCCCCUGAGUUUUCAGAGAACCAUGGAAAGAGGUGCAAACAGGUGCAGGGAAUUACAGGUAUAUCAGUGCCAUGAGAUUUGAUACAGCUCAGUGAGAACAAAGAUACCUCUGAUACUUUAAUUUCAUGAAAUUAAAGCAUCUUCAGAUGCAAAAUAUUUUCAGAUGUAAAAUCUUUUCUAGCCAAGACACUAUUUGAAAAGCCAUCCAACCUGUUCCCUUCCUUAUAGUAAGGAAGUCCAUAGUUGGUAAGAAAGGCUAGAAUGUUGUAAUUCACAUUUCUACUGAUAAUGACUGAAUUCUAAAUUCUUUACAUUUUAAAACUUUCUUACUCAUGUAUGAUCUUUUAAAUAUUUCAUAUGAAAUAAAAUUGUUUGGAACUUUGAAAAGCAGAACUUGUUCUUAUUUUCUUUUCAUCACAUAAGGAAAUUGAGAAUUAUGCAUAAUUGUCUUGACAUUUUAUUUCAGUAUAUCAGCUUCUGAUGAUCAAUGAAACUCUUCAGUAGAUAUGGGUUUGAAAGCCAAGGAAUUAAGCAAUCCUAGUCUUUAUCAGUCCUUAUCAUUGAAUUCCUGUAUUAUUUUAAGUGGGGCGGAAAAAGUUCUCAGCGGC